AGAAAGUGAACACUUUAUAAUACAGGAGGUAGAAUACCUCCUCGAUGCAAGAGACAGCUAAGAAUACUUUCUACACUCAUUGUUCUUAAGAGGGUGCAUGAGUAUUUUUAGAUUGAAGCAGAUAAAAAUUGACAGUGUCUGAUUGUCCUAGUCAGUGAACAGCAAUUGCUAUGGCUCAACCCAGAAACAGAGUUCUCAUUGUAAAGGGGGAGGGAUUCUGCAGCCCAUGGGUGUGCAUCAAUUAAGCCAUCCGCUUACCCCCUCCUUGCUGAUGGCACUGACCUGCCAAUAUCAUCACCUCACGGAGCAGAGGUCAGAAGUGGAUGCCGAAGCGCACAGAAUUACAGCCGCAUGUCCAUGCACACUCUGGCACAUAAACCUGGCUCUUAAAACAGUAACUGAUACAACGACUUAAAAGCUCCCCCACACGGUGUUGCUCUUGAAAGCUGCACUCUGACAAUAGCGUACACUCUCUCAGGAAUAGUGGCAAGAAGUAGCUGUUACUGAAUAGAGUUGAAUAAACAUUUUCCUCUGUUAGCUACUUGAUAAAUCCUUUCUGAGGAUAAAAGCUACUGAUGGGAGAAUAGAAAUCUAAGGAUUAAAGGAAUGGGAGGUUCUUCCACCUGGAGACUGCUCUGUUGACCUUAGCAUCCCAGCAAGCCUCCACUGAAGUUCAAACUAAACCAGUGAAUUUCAGAAGCAGGAGCCUCACACGGUACAAACAAGAGAAAACCCAGAGCUCUGGGCUUCACUCUUUCAAGAGGUUUGUUCCACGGCUGCAGGCCUGCAAUCUAUGCCUGCCUACACCAGGAGGAGUCAAGAUGAGGGUGAGAACUGCCAGUUCUCAUCCCAUGAUGGCACUCGGGUGGUGAGCAGGAAAUCAAGAAUCCACCAUUCAUAACCCACUGUGUUGAAAAACUUCACACGACUCCUUGGGGAACCGAGAUUUCAGAUAGUAUUAAGGGACCAGAACAGGGUAUCAGAGGUACACAGACAGAGGAAAGAUAAGUGGUCAUUGGGUGUUCAUCUCUUCUCUGUCCAGACGUAAUGAUUAUUCAGAAAUACACAAGUCCAGCACAGGGGACCCAUGGCUCCAUUCUGUCUGAGAACAUGUAUGAUGUAAGGUGUAGGAACAAGGCAGUUCUGCAUCCACCCUCAGGGCCCUCUAGAGGAAGAGACUGAGGGUAAGGGAACACCCCCCUCCCGCCCCGAGUGACACCUUUCUCUGCACUGUUACAGAUCGUGGGUGACACUUUUAAAUAGAUAUUGUAUAAUGUAUGUUUUGCCUGUCCAUUCUAAAUACCUCAACUGCUGCUCAAGGUUCCUGACAAACCACAGAUAUUUUAUGAGACCUAAAUGACAGGACUGACCUGGAAGUCACAGAAGGGAAGAAGAGAGAUGGCCCCAAGUAUGAUAAAGGUAAAGCUGCACCCAUAGACACCCAGAAGGGAGUUGUCCCUGCUUGAUAUCCUCUUUGUCACCCAGAUUACAAAUAUCUUUUUUCUUACAAGAAAAGAAUAAAGAUGUACUAUUGG
rnacentral:lncRNA from 1 species